UACGUAGGGUGCGAGCGUUGUCCGGAAUUAUUGGGCGUAAAGAGCUCGUAGGCGGUGUGUCACGUCGUUCGUGAAAACCUGCAGCUUAACUGUGGGCGUGCGGUCGAUACGGGCAUCACUGGACGUUCGGCGAGGGAGGACUGGAUUCCUGGUGUAGCGGUGAAAUGCGCAGAUAUCAGGAGGAACACCGGUGGCGAAGGCGGGUCUCUGGGCCGAUACUGACGCUGGAGGAGCGAAAGCGUGGGGAGCAAACGGG
rnacentral:rRNA from 1 species